UACGUAGGGUGCGAGCGUUGUCCGGAAUUAUUGGGCGUAAAGAGCUCGUAGGCGGUUUGUCGCGUCUGCUGUGAAAACUCGGGGCUUAACCCCGGGCCUGCAGUGGGUACGGGCAGACUAGAGUGCGGUAGGGGAGACUGGAAUUCCUGGUGUAGCGGUGAAAUGCGCAGAUAUCAGGAGGAACACCGGUGGCGAAGGCGGGUCUCUGGGCCGAUACUGACGCUGAGGAGCGAAAGCGUGGGGAGCGAACAGG
rnacentral:rRNA from 1 species